GACGAACGCUGGCGGCGUGCUUAACACAUGCAAGUCGAACGAAGUGGCGAACGGGUGAGUAACGCGUAAUCAACCUGCCCUUCAGAGGGGGACAACAGUUGGAAACGACUGCUAAUACCGCAUACUGAAGGAGGGGAUUGCGUUUGAUUAGGUAGUUGGGGGGGUAACGGGCCACCAAGGCGAUGAUCAGUAGGCGGGCUGAGAGGGUGAACCGCCACAUUGGGACUGGGACACCGCCCAGGCUCCUACGGGAGGCAGCAGUGGGGAAUCUUCCGCAAGGGAGGAAAGUCUGACGGAGCAACGCCGGGUGAGUGAUAACGGCCUUCGGGUUGUAAAGCUCUGUUAAGCGGGACGCGGUACCGGAAUAGAAAGCCACGGCUAACUACGUGCCAGCAGCCGCGGUAAUUC
rnacentral:rRNA from 1 species